AGUGAACGCUGGCGGUAGGCCUAACACAUGCAAGUCGAACGGCAGCACAGGAGAGCUUGCUCUCUGGGUGGCGAGUGGCGGACGGGUGAGGAAUACAUCGGAAUCUGCCCAGUCGUGGGGGAUAACGUAGGGAAACUUACGCUAAUACCGCAUACGACCUUCGGGUGAAAGAGGGGGAUCGCAAGACCUCUCGCGAUUGGAUGAGCCGAUGUCGGAUUAGCUAGUUGGCGGGGUAAUGGCCCACCAAGGCGACGAUCCGUAGCUGGUCUGAGAGGAUGAUCAGCCACACUGGAACUGAGACACGGUCCAGACUCCUACGGGAGGCAGCAGUGGGGAAUAUUGGACAAUGGGCCCAAGCCUGAUCCAGCCAUACCGCGUGGGUGAAGAAGGCCUUCGGGUUGUAAAGCCCUUUUGUUGGGAAAGAAAUCUUUCAGGCUAAUACCCUGGGAGGAUGACGGUACCCAAAGAAUAAGCACCGGCUAACUUCGUG
rnacentral:rRNA from 1 species